rnacentral:rRNA from 1 species
GCAGUCGACGCUUUGUGGUUCACUGAUUUGAAGAGCUUGCUCAGAUAUGACGAUGGACAUUGCAAAGAGUGGCGAACGGGUGAGUAACACGUGGGAAACCUACCUCUUAGCAGGGGAUAACAUUUGGAAACAGAUGCUAAUACCGUAUAACAAUGACAACCGCAUGGUUGUUAUUUAAAAGAUGGUUCUGCUAUCACUAAGAGAUGGUCCCGCGGUGCAUUAGCUAGUUGGUAAGGUAAUGGCUUACCAAGGCGAUGAUGCAUAGCCGAGUUGAGAGACUGAUCGGCCACAAUGGGACUGAGACACGGCCCAUACUCCUACGGGAGGCAGCAGUAGGGAAUCUUCCACAAUGGGCGAAAGCCUGAUGGAGCAACGCCGCGUGUGUGAUGAAGGGUUUCGGCUCGUAAAACACUGUUGUAAGAGAAGAAUGACAUUGAGAGUAACUGUUCAAUGUGUGACGGUAUCUUACCAGAAAGGAACGGCUAAAUACGUGCCAGCAGCCGCGGUAAUACGUAUGUUCCAAGCGUUAUCCGGAUUUAUUGGGCGUAAAGCGAGCGCAGACGGUUAUUUAAGUCUGAAGUGAAAGCCCUCAGCUCAACUGAGGAAUUGCUUUGGAAACUGGAUGACUUGAGUGCAGUAGAGGAAAGUGGAACUCCAUGUGUAGCGGUGAAAUGCGUAGAUAUAUGGAAGAACACCAGUGGCGAAGGCGGCUUUCUGGACUGUAACUGACGUUGAGGCUCGAAAGUGUGGGUAGCAAACAGGAUUAGAUACCCUGGUAGUCCACACCGUAAACGAUGAGUGCUAGGUGUUUGAGGGUUUCCGCCCUUAAGUGCCGCAGCUAACGCAUUAAGCACUCCGCCUGGGGAGUACGACCGCAAGGUUGAAACUCAAAGGAAUUGACGGGGACCCGCACAAGCGGUGGAGCAUGUGGUUUAAUUCGAAGCAACGCGAAGAACCUUACCAGGUCUUGACAUCCCUUGACAACUCCAGAGAUGGAGCGUUCCCUUCGGGGACAAGGUGACAGGUGGUGCAUGGUUGUCGUCAGCUCGUGUCGUGAGAUGUUGGGUUAAGUCCCGCAACGAGCGCAACCCUUAUUACUAGUUGCCAGCAUUCAGUUGGGCACUCUAGUGAGACUGCCGGUGACAAACCGGAGGAAGGUGGGGAUGACGUCAAAUCAUCAUGCCCCUUAUGACCUGGGCUACACACGUGCUACAAUGGCGUAUACAACGAGUUGCCAACCCGCGAGGGUGAGCUAAUCUCUUAAAGUACGUCUCAGUUCGGAUUGUAGGCUGCAACUCGCCUACAUGAAGUCGGAAUCGCUAGUAAUCGCGGAUCAGCACGCCGCGGUGAAUACGUUCCCGGGUCUUGUACACACCGCCCGUCACACCAUGAGAGUUUGUAACACCCAAAGCCGGUGG